rnacentral:lncRNA from 1 species
GUUGAGUACCAAAGAAAAUUAUCUUGCUUAAUUUUUUGGGUCAUAAAAUAGAUGGAUGUCUAUCUGCCCGCAGUUGUCUCCAAAAUGUUCUUCAAUUUUUAGGCAUGAUAAAACACCUUCUUUAAAUAGUUUAUGGCUUCAAAUUUUUUUAGGAUAAUUUUCUAAGUUGAGAAGAGUAUGCCAUUCUGGAUAUGAAUUUUUUCUUCAUAGAAGAUUUUGAGGGUCCUCUUGAUUUGGUAUUCUAGUUGGA